rnacentral:rRNA from 1 species
AGAGUUUGAUCCUGGCUCAGAUUGAACGCUGGCGGCAUGCCUUACACAUGCAAGUCGAACGGCAGCAUGAUCUAGCUUGCUAGAUUGAUGGCGAGUGGCGAACGGGUGAGUAAUACACCGGAACGUGCCCUGUAGUGGGGGAUAACUAGUCGAAAGAUUAGCUAAUACCGCAUACGACCUGAGGGUGAAAGUGGGGGACCGCAAGGCCUCAUGCUAUAGGAGCGGCCGAUGUCUGAUUAGCUAGUUGGUGGGGUAAAGGCCCACCAAGGCGACGAUCAGUAGCUGGUCUGAGAGGACGAUCAGCCACACUGGGACUGAGACACGGCCCAGACUCCUACGGGAGGCAGCAGUGGGGAAUUUUGGACAAUGGGCGAAAGCCUGAUCCAGCAAUGCCGCGUGUGUGAAGAAGGCCUUCGGGUUGCAAAGCACUUUUGUCCGGAAAGAAAUGGCUCUGGUUAAUACCUGGGGUCGAUGACGGUACCGGAAGAAUAAGGACCGGCUAACUACGUGCCAGCAGCCGCGGUAAUAC